rnacentral:rRNA from 1 species
CUACGUGCCAGCAGCCGCGGUAAUACGUAGGUCCCGAGCGUUGUCCGGAUUUAUUGGGCGUAAAGCGAGCGCAGGCGGUUAGAUAAGUCUGAAGUUAAAGGCUGUGGCUUAACCAUAGUACGCUUUGGAAACUGUUUAACUUGAGUGCAAGAGGGGAGAGUGGAAUUCCAUGUGUAGCGGUGAAAUGCGUAGAUAUAUGGAGGAACACCGGUGGCGAAAGCGGCUCUCUGGCUUGUAACUGACGCUGAGGCUCGAAAGCGUGGGGAGCAAACAGGAUUAGAUACCCUGGUAGUCCACGCCGUAAACGAUGAGUGCUAGGUGUUAGACUCUUUCCGGGGUUUAGUGCCGCAGCUAACGCAUUAAGCACUCCGCCUGGGGAGUACGACCGCAAGGUUGAAACUCAAAGGAAUUGACGGGGGCCCGCACAAGCGGUGGAGCAUGUGGUUUAAUUCGGAGCAACGCGAAGAACCUUACCAGGUCUUGACAUCCCUCUGACCGCUCUAGAGAUAGAGUUUUC